rnacentral:rRNA from 1 species
UACGGGAGGCAGCAGUGGGGAAUAUUGCACAAUGGGCGAAAGCCUGAUGCAGCUAUGCCGCGUGUAUGAAGAAGGCCUUAGGGUUGUAAAGUACUUUCAUCGGGGAGGAAAAAACAAAACUAAUAAUUUUAUUUCUUGACGUUACCCGAAAAAGAAGCACCGGCUAACUCCGUGCCAGCAGCCGCGGUAAUACGGAGGGUGCUAGCGUUAAUCAGAAUUACUGGGCGUAAAGAGCACGUAGGUGGUUUUUUUAAAGUCAGAUGUGAAAUCCCUGGGCUUAACCUAGGAACUGCAUUUUGAAACUGAAAUACUAGAGUAUCGUAGAGGGAGGUAGAAUUCUAGGUGUAGCGGUGAAAUGCGUAGAUAUCUGGAGGAAUACCUGUGGCGAAAGCGGCCUCCUAAACGAAUACUGACACUGAGGUGCGAAAGCGUGGGGAGCAAACGAGGGAUUAGGAUACC